rnacentral:tRNA from 1 species
UGUAAUAAGUUGUUUAUAAGCAUAGUAUAUUUUGAUUAUACUGGAGAAGAGAUUCUAUUACAA